rnacentral:rRNA from 1 species
UGCAGAGGGUGCGAGCGUUAAUCGGAAUUACUGGGCGUAAAGCGUGCGUAGACGGUUAUUUAAGUCGGAUGUGAAAGCCCCGGGCUCAACCUGGGAAUUGCAUUCGAGACUGAAUAGCUAGGGUGCGGUAGAGGGAAGCGGAAUUUCCGGUGUAGCGGUGAAAUGCGUAGAUAUCGGAAGGAACAUCAGUGGCGAAAGCGGCUUCCUGGACCAGCACCGACGUUCAGGCACGAAAGCGUGGGGAGCAAACAGG